CCUACGGGCGGCAGCAGUGGGGAAUAUUGGACAAUGGGGGGAACCCUGAUCCAGCCAUGCCGCGUGUGUGAAGAAGGCCCUCGGGUUGUAAAGCACUUUCAGGGAGGAAGAACGCCUGGUGGUUAAUACCCAUCAGGAAAGACAUCACUCACAGAAGAAGCACCGGCUAACUCCGUGCCAGCAGCCGCGGUAAUACGGAGGGUGCGAGCGUUAAUCGGAAUUACUGGGCGUAAAGCGCGCGUAGGUGGCUUGAUAAGCCGGUUGUGAAAGCCCCGGGCUCAACCUGGGAACGGCAUCCGGAACUGUCAAGCUAGAGUGCAGGAGAGGAAGGUAGAAUUCCCGGUGUAGCGGUGAAAUGCGUAGAGAUCGGGAGGAAUACCAGUGGCGAAGGCGGCCUUCUGGACUGACACUGACACUGAGGUGCGAAAGCGUGGGUAGCAAACAGGAUUAGAUACCCGGGUAGUC
rnacentral:rRNA from 1 species